GAUCAAGCUACUAAGGGCAGACGGUGGAUGCCUUGGUACCAGGAGGCGAUGAAGGACGCGGUAAGCUGCGAUAAGCUUCGGGGAGCUGCUAACAGGCUUUGAUCCGGAGGUUUCCGAAUGGGGCAACCCGGCCAGGUAUACCCUGGUCAUCAUGCACUGAAUUCAUAGGUGUAUGAGGCGAACGGGGGGAAGUGAAACAUCUCAGUACCCCCAGGAGAAGAAAUCAAUUGAGAUUCCGUCAGUAGUGGCGAGCGAACGCGGAAAAGCCCAAACCGCAGUACUUGUACUGCGGGGUUGUGGGGCCCCGAUGUGGGAUUGACGAAGGAUAGUUGAACGGUCUGGAAAGGCCGGCCAGAGACGGUGAUAGCCCGGUAGACGAAAUCUGGAGUCACCCUAGGGUGUCCCCGAGUACCACGGGACACGAGAAACCCCGUGGGAAUCCGGGAGGACCAUCUUCCAAGGCUAAAUACUACCUGGUGACCGAUAGUGAACCAGUACCGUGAGGGAAAGGUGAAAAGAACCCCGGGAGGGGAGUGAAAUAGAACCUGAAACCGUCUGCUUACAAGCAGUGGAAGCACUAUGUCUUCGGACAGUGUGACCGCGUGCCUUUUGCAUAAUGAGUCAGCGAGUUACCCUAUGCAGCAAGGUUAAGCCGAGAGGUGUAGCCGUAGCGAAAGCGAGUCUUAACUGGGCGUUUAGUUGCAUGGGGUAAACCCGAAGCCGGGUGAUCUAGCCAUGGCCAGGGUGAAGCGAAGGUAACACUUCGUGGAGGCCCGAACCAUUGUAGGUUGAAAACUGCUUGGAUGAGCUGUGGCUAGGAGUGAAAGGCUAAUCAAACUCGGGAAUAGCUGGUUUUCUCCGAAAUAUAUUUAGGUAUAGCCUCGUGUGAUGACUGACGGAGGUAGAGCACUGGUUGGGCUAGGGGUCCCCACAGGAUUACCAAACCCUGUCAAACUCCGAAUACCGUCAAGCUCAAGCACGGGAGUCAGACUACGGGUGAUAAGAUCCGUGGUCGAAAGGGAAAGAGCCCAGACCGCCGGUUAAGGUCCCUAAAUGCAUGCUAAGUGGUAAAGGAUGUGGAACUGCCCAGACAACCAGGAGGUUGGCUUAGAAGCAGCAAUCCUUCAAAGAAAGCGUAAUAGCUCACUGGUCGAGUGGGUCUGCGCCGAAAAUUCAACGGGGCUAAGCAUGCUACCGAAGCCGCGGAUUUCAUCGUAAGAUGGAGUGGUAGGAGAACAUUGUGGUCGCCUGAGAAGGUACACCGAAAGGAGUGCUGGAGGUCCCACAAGCGCUUAUGCUGACACGAGUAGCGCAAAUGCGGGCGAGAAACCCGCACACCGAAAGCCUAAGGUUUCCUGUGGUCAAGUUAAUCUGCCCAGGGUUAGCCGGCCCCUAAGGCGAGGCCGAGAGGCGUAGUCGAUGGGAAGCAGGUGAAUAUUCCUGCGCCGUUGUAUCAACGUUUGAGUGAAGGGGGGACGCAGAAGGGUAGGCCAUCCGGGUGUUGGACGUCCCGGUUUAAGCGUGUAGGCGGGAGAAGCAGGCAAAUCCGUUUCUCCAUUCAACGCUGAGGCGUGAUGACGAGGGCUUAGGCCCACAAAGUGGUUGAUCCCAUGCUGCCAGGAAAAGCCUCGUAGCGAGUUGAUAUGGCGACCGUACCGUAAACCGACACAGGUAGGCAGGGAGAGUAUCCUAAGGUGCUUGAGAGAACUCUGGUUAAGGAACUCGGCAAAAUAACACCGUAACUUCGGGAGAAGGUGUGCCAUCAUUAGGUGAAGUGAAUACUUACGGAGCCGAAGGUGGUUGCAGAGAAACGGGGGGAGCGACUGUUUACUAAAAACACAGGACUAUGCGAAGUCGAAAGACGCGGUAUAUGGUCUGACGCCUGCCCGGUGCCGGAAGGUUAAGGGGAGGAGUUAUCCUUUUAGGAGAAGCUCCGAACCGAAGCCCCGGUAAACGGCGGCCGUAACUAUAACGGUCCUAAGGUAGCGAAAUUCCUUGUCGGGUAAGUUCCGACCUGCACGAAUGGCGUAACGAUUUCCCCACUGUCUCAACCAGGGACUCAGCGAAACUGAAUUAUCGGUGAAGAUGCCGAUUACCCGCAGCAAGACAGAAAGACCCCGUGAACCUUUACUACAGCUUGGCAUUGGAGUUUGGGAUAAUUUGUGUAGGAUAGGUGGGAGACAUUGAAGCGGGAACGCUAGUUCUCGUGGAGUCAACCUUGAAAUACCACCCUGAUUAUUCUAGGCUUCUAACCACGACCCGUCAUCCGGGUUUGGGACAUUGUCUGGUGGGUAGUUUGACUGGGGCGGUCGCCUCCUAAAGAGUAACGGAGGCGCGCGAUGGUUCCCUCAGGCUGAUUGGAAACCAGCCGUAGAGUGUAAAGGCAUAAGGGAGCUUGACUGCGAGAGAGACAUCUCGAGCAGGUACGAAAGUAGGUCUUAGUGAUCCGGCGAUUCCGCAUGGAAGGGUCGUCGCUCAACGGAUAAAAGGUACUCCGGGGAUAACAGGCUUAUCUCCCCCAAGAGUUCACAUCGACGGGGAGGUUUGGCACCUCGAUGUCGGCUCAUCGCAUCCUGGGGCUGGAGCAGGUCCCAAGGGUUUGGCUGUUCGCCAAUUAAAGCGGUACGCGAGCUGGGUUUAAAACGUCGUGAGACAGUUUGGUCCUUAUCUGCUGUGGGCGUAGGGUAUUUGCGAGGAUCUGUUCCUAGUACGAGAGGACCGGGAUGGACGAACCACUGGUGUUCCUGUUGUCGCGCCAGCGGCAAUGGCAGGGUAGCCACGUUCGGAAGGGAUAACCGCUGAAAGCAUCUAAGCGGGAAGCCCACCUCAAGAUAAGAUACCCCGUGGGGAUAACCCCACCUGAAGGCUCGUCAUAGACCAUGACGUCGAUAGGCCGGGUGUGGAAGUGUGGCAACACAUGGAGCUUACCGGUACUAAUCAGCCGUGCGGCUUGAUCAU
rfam:Desulfurivibrio alkaliphilus AHT2, complete genome.